GAAAAAAAGGGAAGAAGAAGAAGAUGCCGAAGCUGAUUAUACGAACAGUUUCUAAAACAAAGGCUUUCUCAAUUACAGAUGAAAAGUACAUUAAUUGAAUAAUGGCAUGUCCAAAACCAAAUCUAAAGCAGAAUGGUCUCUAAUGCGACAGCAAUUGCACAAGCAAUGCUAGAAUAGUUUAUGCCAACUGCUAGUACCACAGAAGAAAUCAAAAUUUAACUGCUAGAAAGCCACAUUCUAUACGCAAAUUUCAUGGCCUUUUCUCCUCCUUUUGAAUGUGAAAUGCUGGUUACAACAAAUAUGAUUAUGCAUCUAUUGCUCAUGCUGGUUACUAGCAAAUCUAACAAAAGUGAACCGCUUUCUCCAGCAAGAUAAUUAAUGUGGCUCUUUACAGAAACAUUUACUAACUAUAUUUGAUAUGUCAAAUAAUUGUCUUGAAUUUAAAUCAUUUAACUAUUUUGAAUGCAAUUUUCACAAAAAUAUAUAUGAUGACCCUUAGAUUGAAACAGUUGUAAUAUUGAAUAAAAUUGGGUUGAGGCUAUCAAUACAUGAUAAUCUGAAACCUCAUAGCAUGAUAACCGGCUUCAUAAAUGCAUUUACUUGUUCCAAAAGAUGAAGCAUUCAAUGUUCAUAAAUAAAUAAAACACAUAGAUACCAGCUACAUUCAACAAAACUCAACGAAGGCUUAAUCCAAGCUAGUUGGGACACAGAAUCAGCAAAAUAAUGUAAAAUUCAUUAUAAACUUCACCGGACACGGGUAUUUAUAUAUUGAAAAAAUCAAAAUUAAAUUGAACAAGACUGCAAUCAACAAAUUAACAGUAACUACCACACAACAGACGACCAAGAAGUAAUAUGCAUUCAACACCAUGCAAGACAUAAUGUACUUCUCCAAAAAUUGGAAAAGAAAGAACACCCUUGUAGAGAAAAGGAUAUGAGUUCU
rnacentral:misc_RNA from 1 species